UACGGAGGGUGCAAGCGUUGUCCGGAUUCAUUGGGUUUAAAGGGUGCGUAGGCGGCUCGAUAAGUCAGCGGUGAAAUCCCUAGGCUCAACCUAGGAAUUGCCGUUGAUACUGCCGGGCUUGAGUUCGACCGAGGUCGCUGGAACGCGUAGUGUAGCGGUGAAAUGCUUAGAUAUUACGCAGAACACCGAUUGCGAAGGCAGGUGGCUAGGUCGCGACUGACGCUGAGGCACGAAAGUGCGGGGAUCAAACAGG
rnacentral:rRNA from 1 species